rnacentral:lncRNA from 1 species
ACAUGGGGGAACAUGUUACCCAGGAGACCAAAAGGCACUCCCCAGGGAGGCAUUUCCCAAAGGAGUUGUGCUGUCCAGUCCAGAUGCGUGCGGCUGCUGCACUGACUCUCCAGGCUGCUGGAAAGCGCCUCGAUUUUUAUCUAUGGUGGGACAGAUCGGGGUUUUUGAUAACCUCAGUCUGUUUCCCUGAAGACGUGGGGAACAACCCCCGUAGGAGCCAUUAGAUCACAGGACACACGAAGAGUAAGAAGAUGCAUGCACACGGCAGAGCCAGCCAGGAUUCUGACCAGAGCCCGGGGGGCUGAUCAAAACCAUCAGGCCAGCAACGCAAGACCUCAGGUGGACCCAAGACCCCAAAUGAGUCACUUUCACAGCAUCAGGAACAUCGAUAUGAGUCACCUUUUCAAGUGAUGGGUCUGUUCUUUGUCACAUUCCCAGAACUAAUAAAGAUUUAUUUGUAUUACUACU